GGUUAAGUGACUAAGCGUACACGGUGGAUGCCUUGGCAGUCAGAGGCGAUGAAAGACGUAGUAACUUGCGAUAAGCCCAGAUUAGGUAGUAACAACCAUUUGAGUCUGGGAUUUCUGAAUGGGGAAACCCACGUGCAUAAGCACGUAUCCUUACCUGAAUACAUAGGGUAAGGAGGCGAACCGGGGGAACUGAAACAUCUAAGUACCCCGAGGAAAAGAAAUCAACCGAGAUUCCGAAAGUAGCGGCGAGCGAAAUUGGACUAGCCCUUAAGCUUUACACGCGUUAGACGAACGGUCUGGAAAGUCCGACGAUACAGGGUGAUAGUCCCGUAGUUGACGACGUGUGUUCAGUGAAAUCGAGUAGGGCGGGACACGUGAUAUCCUGUCUGAAUAUGGGGGGACCAUCCUCCAAGGCUAAAUACUACUGACUGACCGAUAGUGAACCAGUACCGUGAGGGAAAGGCGAAAAGAACCCCUGUGAGGGGAGUGAAAUAGAACCUGAAACCGUGUACGUACAAGCAGUAGGAGCAGGCUUUGUCCUGUGACUGCGUACCUUUUGUAUAAUGGGUCAGCGACUUAUAUUCAGUGGCAAGGUUAACCAUCUAGGGGAGCCGUAGGGAAACCGAGUCUUAACUGGGCGUUCAGUCUCUGGAUAUAGACCCGAAACCAGGUGAUCUAGCCAUGGGCAGGUUGAAGGUUGAGUAACAUCAACUGGAGGACCGAACCGACUAAUGUUGAAAAAUUAGCGGAUGACUUGUGGCUAGGGGUGAAAGGCCAAUCAAACCUGGAGAUAGCUGGUUCUCCCCGAAAGCUAUUUAGGUAGCGCCUCGGACGAAUACUACUGGGGGUAGAGCACUGUUAAGGCUAGGGGGUCAUCCCGACUUACCAACCCUUUGCAAACUCCGAAUACCAGUAAGUACUAUCCGGGAGACACACGGCGGGUGCUAACGUCCGUCGUGGAGAGGGAAACAACCCAGACCGCCAGCUAAGGUCCCAAAUUACUACUAAGUGGGAAACGAUGUGGGAAGGCUCAGACAGCCAGGAUGUUGGCUUAGAAGCAGCCAUCAUUUAAAGAAAGCGUAAUAGCUCACUGGUCGAGUCGGCCUGCGCGGAAGAUGUAACGGGGCUAAGUAGUAAACCGAAGCUGCGGCAAUAUACUUUUGUAUAUUGGGUAGGGGAGCGUUCUGUAAGCGGUUGAAGGUGUGUGGUAACGCAUGCUGGACGUAUCAGAAGUGCGAAUGCUGACAUGAGUAACGAUAAAGGGGGUGAAAAACCUCCUCGCCGGAAGACCAAGGGUUCCUGUCCAACGUUAAUCGGGGCAGGGUAAGUCGACCCCUAAGGCGAGGCCGAAAGGCGUAGUCGAUGGGAAACGGGUUAAUAUUCCCGUACUUCUUACAAUUGCGAUGGGGGGACGGAGAAGGCUAGGUGGGCCUGGCGACGGUUGUCCAGGUUCAAGUGCGUAGGCUUAAGAGUUAGGUAAAUCCGGCUCUUUUUAAGGCUGAGACACGACGUCGAGCACCUACGGGUGUGAAGUCAUUGAUGCCAUGCUUCCAGGAAAAGCCUCUAAGCUUCAGAUUGUAAGGAAUCGUACCCCAAACCGACACAGGUGGUCGGGUAGAGAAUACCAAGGCGCUUGAGAGAACUCGGGUGAAGGAACUAGGCAAAAUGGUACCGUAACUUCGGGAGAAGGUACGCUCUCGACGGUGAAGUCCCU
rnacentral:rRNA from 1 species